rnacentral:rRNA from 1 species
AGCUUUAGGGCUAGCCUCUCGUUAGUGUACCGAAGGUAGAGCACUGUAUGAGCUAGGGGGCUUCACGGCUUACUGAACUCUAACAAACUUCGAAUGACGGAUACAUGAUGCGAGGGAGUCAGACAGUGUGAGAUAAGUCUCAUUGUCAAAAGGGAAACAGCCCAGACCUACAACUAAGGUCCCAAAGUACAAGUUAAGUGGUAAAGGAUGUGUCGACGCUAAAACAACCAGGAUGUUGGCUUAGAAGCAGCCACUCAUUUAAAGAGUGCGUAAUAGCUCACUGGUCGAGUAUCGGUGCGCCGAAGAUUAUCGGGGCUAAAACUUGUCACCGAAGUUUAGGGAUAUGCGAUUGCAUAUCGGUAGAGGAGCAAUGUGUACGGGCAGAAGCUGUAUCGAAAGGGGCAGUGGACUGUACACAAGAGAGAAUGCCGGCAUAAGUAGCGAGAGCAAAGUGAGAAACUUUGCCGUCGAAAGCCUUAGGUUUCCUGGGGAAGGUUCGUCCUCCCAGGGUAAGUCGGGACCUAAGCCGAGGCCGAAAGGCGUAGGUGAUGGACAACAGGUAGAUAUUCCUGUACCACCGACAGUCGUCUAAAUGAAGCAAUGACACAGAAGGAUAGUCAAACCGCGUUGAUGGAUAUAUGCGGCCAAAUCAUUAGGCUUAUGUGUAGUGAAGUACGCACAUAGUUAAGGCUGAGUGAUGAUGGGGAGUGAAAACUAGUAAUGAAGUUGAUGAUUCCACGCUGGCGAGAAAAGUUGCUAAAUAUGACUGAAGGUGCCCGUACCGCAAACCGACACAGGUAGGUGAGGAGAAAAUCCUAAGACGAGCGGGAUAACCCAUGUUAAGGAACUCUGCAAAAUCACCCCGUAACUUAGGGAGAAGGGGUACCACGCAAGUGGUCGCAGUGAAGAGGCCCAAGCGACUGUUUACCAAAAACACAGGUCUCUGCUAAAUCGUAAGAUGAAGUAUAGGGGCUGACGCCUGCCCAGUGCUGGAAGGUUAAGGGGAUGUGUUAGCGCAAGCGAAGCACGGAACUUAAGCCCCAGUGAACGGCGGCCGUAACUAUAACGGUCCUAAGGUAGCGAAAUUCCUUGUCAGGUAAGUUCUGACCCGCACGAAUGGCGUAACGAUUUGGGCGCUGUCUCAACAUGGGACCCGGCGAAAUUGUAGUAUACGUGAAGAUGCGUAUUACCCGCGACUGGACGGAAAGACCCCGUAGAGCUUUACUGUAGUCUGAUAUUGGAUUUCGGUGAUUUAUGUACAGGAUAGGUGGGAGACUUUGAAGCAUAGGCGUCAGCUUAUGUGGAGUCAACCUUGGGAUACCACCCUUAAAUUAUUGAGGUUCUAACUUUGUGCCGUAAUCCGGGCAGAGAACAGUGUCAGAUGGGCAGUUUGACUGGGGCGGUCGCCUCCUAAAAUGUAACGGAGGCGUCCAAAGGUUCCCUCAGGAUGGUUGGAAAUCAUCCAAAGAGUAUAAAGGCAGAAGGGAGCUUAACUGCGAGACAGACAUGUCGAGCAGAUACGAAAGUAGGGCUUAGUGAUCCGGCGGUAGAGUAUGGAAUUGCCGUCGCUUAACGGAUAAAAGUUACCUCGGGGAUAACAGGCUUAUCUCCCCCAAGAGUUCACAUCGACGGGGAGGUUUGGCACCUCGAUGUCGGCUCGUCACAUCCUGGGGCUGUAGUAGGUCCCAAGGGUUCGGCUGUUCGCCGAUUAAAGUGGCACGCGAGCUGGGUUCAGAACGUCGUGAGACAGUUCGGUCCCUAUCCAUCGUGGGCGUAGGAUAUUUGAGAGGAUCUGCUCCUAGUACGAGAGGACCAGAGUGGACGCACCUAUGGUGCACCUGUUGUCGCGCCAGCGGCACAGCAGGGU